UUGUUGGUAAGGUAAAAGCUUACCAAGGCUUCGAUCAGUAGCUGGUCUGAGAGGACGGCCAGCCACACUGGGACUGAGACACGGCCCAGACUCCUACGGGAGGCAGCAGUGGGGAAUUUUGGACAAUGGGGGCAACCCUGAUCCAGCCAUGCCGCGUGAGUGAAGAAGGCCUUCGGGUUGUAAAGCUCUUUCAGCCGGAACGAAACGGUUACGGUUAAUACCCGUGACUACUGACGGUACCGGAAGAAGAAGCACCGGCUAACUACGUGCCAGCAGCCGCGGUAAUACGUAGGGUGCGAGCGUUAAUCGGAAUUACUGGGCGUAAAGCGUGCGCAGGUGGUUUUGUAAGUCAGAUGUGAAAGCCCCGGGCUCAACCUGGGAACUGCGUUUGAAACUACAAGACUAGAGUGUGGCAGAGGGGGGUGGAAUUCCGCGUGUAGCAGUGAAAUGCGUAGAGAUGUGAAGGAACACCGAUGGCGAAGGCAGCCCCCUGGGUCAACACUGACGCUCAGGCACGAAAGCAUGGGGAGCAAACAGGAUUAGAUACCCUGGUAGUCCAUGCCCUAAACGAUGUCAACUAGUUGUCGGGCCUUUACGGGCUUGGUAACGUAGCUAACGCGUGAAGUUGACCGCCUGGGGAGUACGAUCGCAAGAUUAAAACUCAAAUGAAUUGACGGGGACCCGCACAAGCGGUGGAUUAUGUGGAUUAAUUCGAUGCAACGCGAAAAACCUUACCUACCCUUGACAUGUAUCGAAGCCCGCAGAAAAGCGGGGGUGCCCGAAAGGGAACGAUAACACAGGUGCUGCAUGGCUGUCGUCAGCUCGUGUCGUGAGAUGUUGGGUUAAGUCCCGCAACGAGCGCAACCCUUGUCAUUAAUUGCCAUCAUUUAGUUGGGCACUUUAAUGAGACUGCCGG
rnacentral:rRNA from 1 species